rnacentral:rRNA from 1 species
GUGAGGAAUUUUCCGCAAUGGGCGAAAGCCUGACGGAGCAAUGCCGCGUGAAGGAUGAAGGCCUAUGGGUUGUAAACUUCUUUUCUCAGAAAAGAAUUAUGACGGUAUCUGAGGAAUAAGCAUCGGCUAACUCUGUGCCAGCAGCCGCGGUAAGACAGAGGAUGCAAGCGUUAUCCGGAAUGAUUGGGCGUAAAGCGUCUGUAGGUUGUUUAAAAAGUAUUCUGUCAAAGAUUAGGGCUUAACCCUAGAUAGGCAGAAUAAACUUUUAAGCUAGAGUUUGGUAGAGGCAGAGGGAAUUCCCGGUGGAGCGGUGAAAUGCGUAGAUAACGGGAGGAACACCAAAGGCGAAGGCACUCUGCUGGGCCAAUACUAACACUGAGAGACGAAAGCGAGGGGAGCAAAUGGGAUUAGAAACCCGAGUAGUCC